ensembl:lncRNA SNHG5 small nucleolar RNA host gene 5
GCUGCGCACUUCGGUCUUUUACGUCGGCCUUCGCGAGCGUCUGGGCGGGUGGUAGGUGAGUGGGUAUUGCGGGCUAGUAUCCGAGCAAAAGAUGGUGGCGCAGGCCGAGUUAAGAGCUUUAAUCCUGUGAAGACAUCUUAGUGAAGAGUUUAGAGUGCUGAGAGUUGAAAGCUUGCACGUGGGAAACGUGCGGCCGGACUGCCACAUGUACUGAGGUUGAGUCGUGACGGCCACAGGCUCCGAGUUUUGGCGUGAGGAACCGCUGAUCGGCCACGGGCGCCGAACUUGCUGGCCUCCGGCAUGUGCCUGAGCGGCGGCGGAAAAACCACCUUAAUUGGGGCGGAGGGUUAGUUUUAACAGCAAAGGGCCUUUACUAAAAUGGCGAAGGCCUUCCGUCGGCGUUGUUUUAAAAUGGGAAGCCUCGACCCUGUAUUGAAACUGAGCUGUUCGAAGGCGGCGUUGUGUGCAAUUCGGAUUAAUGAAGGGGAAGGGUUUUGUGUGGAAAAACGCCUUGGAGUGUGACAUUUCUGCGAGAAUGCUUAAAUACCGAUUUCCCGCAGGAACAAUGGCGCUGUCUUCAGUGGCACAGUGGAGCAGCUCUGAAGAUGCAAAGUUAGUUGAAUCCAUGGACAUGAAACCCACAGAUAUAGAGGGUUGGCCCGGUGCAGUGGCUCACGCCUGUAAUCCCAGCACUUUGGGAGGCCAAGGCGGGUGGAUCACCUGAGGUCAGAAGCUUGAGACCAGCCUGGCCAACAUGGUAAAACCCCAUCUCUACUAAUAAUACAAAACAAUUUGCUGGGCAUGGUGGUGCACGCUUGUAAUCCAAGCUACUCCAGAGGCUGAGGCAGAAGAAUCGCUUGAAUCCGAGAGGCAAAGGUUGCAGUGAGCCCAGAUCACACCACUGCUCUCCAACCUGGGCAACAAGAGCAAAACUCCGUCAAAAAAAAAAGAUACAGGGUCAACUGUACACAUUAAACACUUCUAUCAACUAGUGAUGUCA